ensembl:lncRNA
GCCUCAGACUGUUCAGCGAAGAAGGAGAAGGAACAGGAAAUCAGAGAGUAUAAUUAUACAGCUGAUGGGAGAUAGUGAGUUUGGUCAUGGAUGAGUUGCCUCUGCAACCUCCAGGUAAAGAUAGUUGGAUAUGGGGCUCAGGGGCGGGAGGCGGGUGUUGGUGUUUCUGAUACCAAAAAACACAGACUUCGGAGCUAUCAGCAUAAAUUUUGAAGAUGAGUUUCCUUGCAGAGAGACGUGGAAGAUUGAGCCAUUUUGUAGGAAGGGGCCGAUUUGGGCUUCCCAAACCAUUCAUGGUUUUCUUUUUUUAAAAAAAUUUUUGACAGUCUGUUGGGUUUUUCUUUUGCGGGGGGCGGGGGUGGGCUGUGCUGGGUCUUCACAGUGGCGUGUGGGGGCUUCCUGGUUGUGGAGCACAGUCUCUAAAGCAGGCGGGAUCAGUAGUUGCCAGCAGCGCAGGGGCUUGGUUGUUCCAUGGCAUGUGGGAUCUUAGUUCCCCAACCAGGGAUCAGACCCCCAUAACCUGCAUUAGGAGGUGGAUUCUUAACCGCUGGACCACCAGGGAGGUCCCAUAGUUUUCUAUUUCACUUCCUCUUUGGGCCAUUCCUGACUACACUCUUCUUCCAGCAACUUUCUCUCUUAUUUCUCCCUUUUUUCCUGUUUCAUCUUUCUGUAGGUCUUGGAAUACAUCACUCUGGGCUCUCCCGGAGCAGCUGACACAUCGCAGUAACGCUUCUCCAAAAGUCAGGGUCUGCUGAUUCCAGCGGGGACAGCAAGGCAAGCCGGGAGCAGCUGAAAUGGUCUCCUCCAACUUCGGAGACUCAGGGCAGGCGGCUGGCUUAGCGGCAGAGGCCCAGCGACUGGGCUGUCAAGUGCAGCGCCCACGAUUCCCAGACCAGAAGGUGGUUUGUUGCCUGCCUCUGGGUGAAAUUUUAUUCACCUGGUGGGGAAACUCGUUUUCUCUCCACGGAAUGCUCUGAGUGGCACGUCGCAUAUGUGUUUUAUUAAUAAAAAUGAGAAAAUGGAAUCAUUAUUACUGCAUAAUUGCAGUUCAUUUGCUAGGCCUAAUCUUUCAAAAGCCCAGGUGCUGGGGGUGGGGC